GGCAACGUCCACACAACCCUGAACAAGCCCGAUCUCAUCUGAUCUCGGAAGCUAAGCAGGGUCUGGGCCUGGUUAGUACUUGGGUGGGAGACCACCUAGGAAUAUCGAGUACUGUAGGCA
ensembl:rRNA 5S_rRNA 5S ribosomal RNA